GCUGUUAGAGGGAGUAACCGCCGCAGUCCUAGCACAAAGGGGUAGGCAAAGGCACGCAGCUGGUGGAACAUUAACAAUAUAGUAGUUUGAGUAUGUGUGAAGUACGGUCGUAGUUGUGAUACGUGUGGGCGUGCUGCGAAACGCUUUACUUUGGCCUGAUAUCGUGCGGAUCAACGACAACGUUUAAAACAAUAAGCAAUAGCUAUUCAUACAGAUGUGCACGCGCGCGAAGUGCAGCAACAGCAGCUUUAAUGGCCUCCAAACAAAUGACCCAAUGUUAACUAUGCCGCUCUGUGACUGUAAUCAUUCCAACGUUGCGCUGUGCGAAUAGAUGUUUUUUCAACGACCCAAAAAAGAAACGGUGCCACCCGGGGUGCUUAACAUUAACGGAAGUGGCAUCCAAUCCAAAGCCUCGUGAAGAAUGAGUCACAGAGGGGGUUGAGAGGGGAUGGCUCAUAUCGGCUCAGGAGGGUCGAUUAAUGUAUGAUCACGGAUGCGUGGUCGCGGUCAGUUGCUUGCACAAUGCAAUUUUUGCAAGUGAUUUACAUUGUUGUUGUGCCAGAAGCAUGAAGGCGCGGUAAAAAGGCAGGUUGACGGCAGGUUAAAGAAAUGGAAAAUUUACGAUAAACAAGCUUCUUGCGCCUGGACUGUUCGUGUGAGGCAAAUAUCAUAGUUACGACGGAAAUUACGUGUCUAGGGACGUACCACACUCGAAAAGAAUUAGCCUGAGUCGGAUGCAGUAAAUGAACGUAGUUAGGAGAACAAUGGGUAAUAGGCUGUUCACCCACAGAAUAACUUCCGGUAGAAUGUAUUAAUAAUAUAUUUGGAUCAAAGGAUAUGUUUUUGCGCAGAUUUCCAGUACUACUUGAGGACUGUAGAUUCCGAUGGAACGAAACCAAUUGAAUUAUAUUAGUAGACCGGUGGCGAACAGCCUUAACCUUUUCUCAGCAUAGUGAGCAGUUCUGCAGGAACUUCAGUCACAACGCAUUAACGAAGUUCACUAAUCGUAGAACUUAAAAAAAAUAUAUUAUGAUUUAUUCCCGGUAGAACUUAAACUCUAGCAAAAUUUCCGUUUAUUGUACCCCUGCGCAGCGCCGGUGCACGACUUUUGAUUCAAUUUCCGUUCUAUCUGCUUUUUACACUACCCCAUCGAAACCAGACAACCAGGACGGCUGUCUUACCAGGGUUUUCCAGACCGUCGGCAACGAUGGUAGUCAAAAUCAGUACAGCAGCGAUGUCGAAGAACCGUCGCUUUUAUGAAGAAGCUCAUUUGAGCUUUUCGGGCGGCGGUUUCCUCGGCAUCUAUCACGUCGGGGUGGCGCUUGCGUUUCGAGAUUUUGCCCCGCACGUCGCAAACCGCAAGGUAUUUGGCACCUCGGCCGGAGCCUUAGCCGCCAGUUGCCUCGUGAGCGGUUUCCCUAUGGAUAAGGCAAUCAACAAUAUCGUGACCUUAGCGGUACAUUGCCGAAGUCUUCCAUUGGGGCCGCUCCAUCCGCGCUUCAACCUAUUUGAUACAAUGCGUAGGGAUCUUGAUCUGUAUAUGCCAGCCGAUGCGCACAUUCGCAGCUCGGGUAAGCUGUUUGUGUCAGUGACGCGUGCAUCAAAUUUACAGAACGAGCUCAUCAGUAAUUUCGAUUCUCGGCAGGAACUUAUUGAUGUGCUAAUGGCAUCGUGUUUCAUUCCGUACUUCCUCGGUUGGGUUCCGCCAAAGGUCAAGGGUGUCAGCUAUAUUGAUGGCGGAAUUAGUCGUAACCUCCCUAUCCAUGAUGAGCAUACGAUUACCGUGUCACCCUUUCCAGGCGAGUCGCGAAUCGGUCCUCGGUCAGGCAAUUUACCGAAAGUAGCAUUCAUGCCGGAGACACUUUUACGCCUCUGCAAGACCGUAUACGCCCCUUCGCCCUCUAUCCUCGAAGAGCUGAUUCAGCAGGGUUACAAAGACGCCGUCCAUUUCCUACAGAACAACGACAUGAUUUCCUGCCAUUCGUGUAUCGCAGCUGAGAAUUACUUCAUAACAAGUUCCGGCCCGUCAUCAUCAAUGAAAAUAAGUCACAGCCAGCAAGAGAAUGACAGCGAGCAAUUGUCUUCACUAAUUAUUACUGAUAGGUCCAUUGACGGCAAGGAUUGCGAGCAUUGCGACGCGCAUAUCAAGCUGUCGAGCAGGUCGAACGUAUCUCGUACACUUUUGCGGCCGCUUGAGCUGGCGACGAUUGAAGAACAGCUGGAGCGACAAUUGAGGCCAUAUCGACAUACGAGACUGGCGCGAACUGUGGCAUUAGUGGUCGCCAUUGUUAUGCUACCGUUCGACAUAGCUUUGGCGACAAUAGGCAAAGCGGCGAGAAGCUGGGGAUACAUGUGGGACUGCAUCCUGCACAGCUACAGCGGUUUGUCUGCACCUCUGCGUAAGAUUGUUGUGGACUCGCAGGAGAAGGGUUGCCAGGUGUGUGGAGGACCGGGUGCAAUUGCGGCAGAAAGCUCGACAGCUUCCUCUUCUUCGAACCAUGUGCAAUCCGACUGCAAAGCUGACGGCGACGAAGUGGACAAUGUAAAGCACAAGCCUGUUUCAACGGAUAGAAAAUGUGCCAAUUGUGUGAAAGGACAAUGAUUACUCAUGAUCAACCUCAGUUAGCAACGGUCGGCAAAAGUUCUGACUAAAACAGUGAAUUCUUUACAUUUGUCAUGGGUUACUGAAAUUCACAAGUCGCGAUGCGAUAACUCGAAAAGCUACCUGAGGAGGACGAGACUCAAGCGAUUCACUACCGUAUCUCAAAGGCUAUCAACGAUUUGCUUCAGGACAAGGUUCCGCUACAAGAUUUUUUCCUAAUUCUUAGAUCAGCGUUACAUAUGUCACUCGCGAAGAGCUGCUUAACCCUUCGGCCAUUUUGCGCCGUCCUCUCACAGACCCUCUCGUAAUCGAGGACAUCACC